rnacentral:lncRNA from 1 species
AGAGCAUGGAAUGCAUUCGAGUAAUUUCGGCGCUGAGCAGCAGGCAAAGUGGCAUCAGCCUGCAUACGGAUAAGUGCCAAAUCAGCUGGGCUGCCAACACAGGCUCCAAUAGCACCAGCAGUCAGACCACACAAAGCCUUCUGAUACAGUGGUAGGGGCUUCCCAUCAUUGGCUUCAAUUGCUUUGUUUGUCAACAUUCUAUACAAAAAAAAUGGAAAUAAAUCAACAUCUAAAUCAGAACCCGAAUGGAUAAUUCAAACUUAGUCUCAGAAGCAAACUAUGUCAGAAAGAGACAAUAAAAACAAAAUCAAAUGUUAAUAAGGUUCAAAAAUGAAAUUUACACUUCAGACUCAAAACUAUUAAUUAUUAGAACAAAAAUGGAAGUAUCUUGAAGAGUAUAAUGAAAGCCACACAACCAUUUACAUCCUAUCCCAUAUGCAGACACUAGACACUCACUUGAAUGAUCCAAGUCGAGCAGUAGUGUAUGUAGCUUGCCUGAGCAAUCCAGCUGAUAGCCCCUGUCCAAAAUAAUACAACUUAGGUUCAUGGACAAUAGAAAUAUUUUCUGAAUGCAACUGAGAACAUCUAACCAAAUUAUCGAAUUGUGAAAAUAGGAAGUACGAAUUCAGCAAGAUAAUGUCACUAUCUCUAUGUAUAACCACCAAUGACCAAAUUGCAGUUUUAAGUUGUAUAAAGUCUAGCCUCCAGAUAAUCGGACUACAAUGAAAGCAUGAAUUGUUGUCAAUAUCAUCUUUUAUAUGCUAUAAAGUAUUAACAAAUCAAGAAGCACAUCUAAUCCCAUGAAACAGCAUUGAAUUCCAAUAAUUUGGCAACCAAAAUCGCUACAUAAUGUCAUAUACAACAUAGAAUAAAAAUGUACAGAAACUCGAAACUUCGAACAUCCUCGUUGGUAUGCCAUGUUAAACGAACUACAAAUAAAAGAUCCAGCUUCUAACACAGAUCUCACAAGUCGAUAGCAAAAUCUAAUACCUGAAAAAGUAGAUCAGCCAUACAUAUGACUCAAAAAGUAAAAAAAAAUCAAAACUUGAAUGAAGUUGUAGAACAGAACCUUGUAAAAGGCACCAACACCCUCCUCUCUAAGCAUGUUCUUGGUGACAGUUGCUGCCGAUCCCUGGCCCAGUUGGAUUCUCACCUACACCAAACCAAAACAACAAAGGACCAUUAGCCGAAAUGACACAACAAAAAUAGACAAAUACUCCGAAAGAAAUCCGAGCAAACCCCAGAUCUAAAACCCCCAUCUUUGGGUUUAAAAGUAGCAUCCUUUUAACACUAAAAGGAAAAACAAAGAAGUGAUCUAACAGAAAUACAGGGAGAUAUGAAAGUAAAGAUGUAUGAAAACCUUGAUCAUGUCGAUGGGUUGGAUGACACAGGUGGCAAGCAUACCAGAGGCACCUCCAUUGACAAAAGGCUUAACCUUUGGCCAGACACCAGCAG